AUUGAACGCUGGCGGAAUGCUUUACACAUGCAAGUCGAACGGCAGCACGGACUUCGGUCUGGUGGCGAGUGGCGAACGGGUGAGUAAUGUAUCGGAACGUGCCCAGUCGUGGGGGAUAACGUAGUGAAAAUUACGCUAAUACCGCAUACGAUCUAUGGAUGAAGGCGGGGGAUCGCAAGACCUCGCGCGAUUGGAGCGGCCGUUAUCAGAUUAGGUAGUUGGUGGGGUAAAGGCCCACCAAGCCAACGAUCUGUAGCUGGUCUGAGAGGACGACCAGCCACACUGGAACUGAGACACGGGCCAGACUCCUACGGUAGGCAGCAGUGGGGAAUUUUGGACAAUGGGCGAAAGCCUGAUCCAGCCAUUCCGCGUGCAGGAUGAAGGCCCUCGGGUUGUAAACUGCUUUUGUACAGAACGAAAAGGUUUCUACUAAUACUAGGAGCUCAUGACGGUACUGUAAGAAUAAGCACCGGCUAACUACGUGCCAGCCGCCGCAGUAA
rnacentral:rRNA from 1 species